GGGUUUCCGCCCUUCAGUGCCGCAGCUAACGCAUUAAGCAMUCCGCCUGGGGAGUACGACCGCAAGGUUGAAACUCAAAGGAAUUGACGGGGGCCCGCACAAGCGGUGGAGCAUGUGGUUUAAUUCGAAGCUACGCGAAGAACCUUACCAGGUCUUGACAUCUUGCGCCAACCCUAGAGAUAGGGCGUUUCCUUCGGGAACGCAAUGACAGGUGGUGCAUGGUCGUCGUCAGCUCGUGUCGUGAGAUGUUGGGUUAAGUCCCGCAACGAGCGCAACCCUUGUUACUAGUUGCCAGCAUUCAGUUGGGCACUCUAGUGAGACUGCCGGUGACAAACCGGAGGAAGGUGGGGACGACGUCAGAUCAUCAUGCCCCUUAUGACCUGGGCUACACACGUGCUACAAUGGACGGUACAACGAGUCGCGAACUCGCGAGGGCAAGCUAAUCUCUUAAAACCGUUCUCAGUUCGGACUGCAGGCUGCAACUCGCCUGCACGAAGUCGGAAUCGCUAGUAAUCGCGGAUCAGCAUGCCGCGGUGAAUACGUUCCCGGGCCUUGUACACACCGCCCGUCACACCAUGAGAGUUUGCAACACCCAAAGUCGGUGGGG
rnacentral:rRNA from 1 species